AGCCGCGGGGAAGAGGAUUUCCGAUGCGCCUUCCCCAACCACAGUUCAUUCGCUGAUUCGCCCCUGGACUCCAGGCACGGCUCUGCGUGUGGCCCACGUGGAUGGGGUGAGCCACACCUGCCUCCGCUACCUGAUUGGCUGGGAGGAGGACGCGCGCUUAGCCAGCCACGCAGGAUCCUCUUGCAGGGAGAGCUUGCUGCCAGCUUCACAGAGACCUGAGCCCAGAAUGGUGGCAGCACUGAGCGCCCCCUCCCUUUCCAUGACAACAAGGACAGACAGAGCCUGAACUGGGGGAAGCAGCCACUUCUAACAUCAGGAGUCCCCUACCCACUGGCCGGGUCUCAGACAAGCAUCUUCUUGGGUAUCUGGCUGUAGCUCCAUGUUUAGGCCAUACCAUCCUGUGAAUUCUACCCUCCAGCCAUGCAGAAUUAAGCCCUAAGGAUACCUCAAGUUUCCACAGGCCCAGCUCCUUCUCUCAUAGCACAAUCCUCCUCUUCUUCACCAAAGUAAGAUCAUUCUCGUCCUGACACUCGUAGCCAAGGCAUCUGUCUGCCGCUUUCUCCAGGAAAUGAAAUGAAGCGACUGCCUCAUGAGCUCCCAGGCACAGCAGCCCAUUGGAGUGGCUAUCCUGAUACCCAUUCUACAGAUACGGAUCCCCAAGACUCAGAAACUUUGACCGGGAUGCCUCCAAAUGCUCUCGUGCUCAUACAGCCUAGGACAGCUGACCUUCCUGCAGCCACGCCACUCCGAAUCCUCCUCCGCUGUACCCUGCAAGCUGAGCCAAGCCCCUUGCAUGGCCAGCCAUGUCCUGCACGCUGCCUAAAGCCCCCUUACCUUCUCCUUGUGUCAGGAGGGUGGCGAGGAGCAAUGCCAGGAGUGCCUGCCAGAGCCACGGCUGCAUGGUGA